GCCCGGUUAGCUCAAUCGGUAGAGCGUGAGACUCUUAAUCUCAAGGUUGCGGGUGAGUACAAGCAUAUUCAAUACACUGCUUGUGGCA